CUUUUUUUCUAGGCUUGAUUGUGUUUAUGGGGUGCAGUCUAACAUCUGUUACUGCAGGAAAUCAGAGUUUCAUUCAAAAUCACCACAAAUAUGCAAUUAUGUAUGCAAAUAUGAUGUUCUUGAUGGGAGAUUCAGAGACAGACUGAAGCUGAACAAUCAAACUGGAUCUGGAGUUUAUCAACUACAGACCAACCAUGUGAUAAAGAGUUUCAUUCUCACUGUCUACAACUCUGUCCACUGUUGUGAUUCUGUUGAAGCUGUGAUCCGAUUGGUCCUCUCUGCUCUGGUGGGCGUGGCUGCUGCGGCUGCUGUCAUUGUUCUGGUUUAUGACAUCAGAUCCAAAAGAGCUGAACAGGAUUUUUAAUUACUCAUUUUUAAUGUCUUUCUAUAUUCUUCCUUAAAGACCGAAGCUUCAUCAUUGCUGAAUGGAGUCAGUUUGAACUGAGAACAAGAGACUGAAGGUUGUUAGUUUGAAUCUCAGCAGUAAUGUUGAUGUCUCACAUAUCCACUCUAGAUGUUCUAUUCUAUUCUAUAAUAAACAUUUGAUAUCAUUACAGCAGUA